GAUGAACGCUGGCGGCGUGCUUAACACAUGCAAGUCGAACGAUGAUCCCCAGCUUGCUGGGGGGAUUAGUGGCGAACGGGUGAGUAACACGUGAGUAACCUGCCCCCGACUCUGGGAUAAGCCCGGGAAACUGGGUCUAAUACCGGAUAUUCACCGUCCCUCGCAUGGGGGGUGGUGGAAAGGUUUUUCCGGUCGGGGAUGGACUCGCGGCCUAUCAGCUUGUUGGUGGGGUAGUGGCCCACCAAGGCGACGACGGGUAGCCGGCCUGAGAGGGUGACCGGCCACACUGGGACUGAGACACGGCCCAGACUCCUACGGGAGGCAGCAGUGGGGAAUAUUGCACAAUGGGCGCAAGCCUGAUGCAGCGACGCCGCGUGAGGGAUGACGGCCUUCGGGUUGUAAACCUCUUUCAGUAGGGAAGAAGCGAAAGUGACGGUACCUGCAGAAGAAGCGCCGGUUAACUACGUGCCAGCCGCCGCCGUAAGAC
rnacentral:rRNA from 1 species